UGAUGACUGCACAAGUUCAAAUGACCCUAAACCUCUGCCAAAGUUCUGCACGUGUGUUACGUUGACCUGAAAAAAUCCAACUGCCCUCUUGUUCAUAUAUACCAGAAAACUCACAGAAACUCAAACCAAUCUGCAAAUUCACUAUACCCAUAGAGCUCUUCUUGUCAGGUGUACAGCCAGGAGUGUAAGUGGGGGAGUGACAAAAUGAUUUGGUGGGCACCUGGCACCCAGCCAGGGCUAAACCACCACACCAGGAAAAGGACUACCCUGGUCUUCUGUGGAGAGAGGAAACCUGCAGUUGGGCACACAGAAGUCACCCUUCCAGGUGACAGAAAAGCUGUGGAGAAAGUGCUGUGGGUAAGUAAUAAUUAAAAUGAACAAAAAGCUCAUUUCUGGUAAUUAAAUGA